UUGAUUUCUGUCUUACUAACUGAUUUUGAUCUCAAUAGCCUAUUCAACCAAGGAUGGUUGUGCAAAGAGUCGUUCCUCUCUUUAGACAAUCACUUUGGAUUGAGGAUUAUUUUCUUCCACUCUGAAGUUAUGGAUCUUGAGCUAACUGAACGCUCUAAAACUGUGUUUGCAUACUCUGCCACAGGAAGCUGACAACUCACUCUCAACAGUCACUUGAGAGUUCCUGAGUUCUACACCCUCUGGGAAAUAUAAAUCAUCAACCAACAGCAAUGAAAAAUCCGUUUCUACACAGAGUUGGGCAUUCAUCAUCCUGUUUAGUUCCAGCCAUUCAACUAAAAGAUAGAACUUCAGCAGGAAAGGAAAUUCUUUGUUUUUGUUUAAUUUGAUGUGUAAUUGUGUGUACUUGAAUGAAGAGGACACAUUGUCAUCAGUCUCAGAAAAUCAACCUUAUUGCUGACAAAACUUCAUGUUCUUAUGAUGGGCAAUUUCCAUUAACCAGAAGAGUUGCCACUCCAAACAGAAACCAUAAAUUGAAAUCUUAAUGACCACUACAUCUCAUUUCUUCAAAAUAAAAGUGGGCUGUUGGUUGGCUUUCCUUUUAAUCUGACAACCAAAUAACCAUGCGCUGGGCUGAAAAUUUUCCCAAAAUUUGGCUGAGAGUCAAUUUUCAGGAGUUUCAUGGAGUGUUUCUCUCCAUAAUCUGCAGCACAUGUUCCCAUGUAAUUUUAUGCUGGUCUCCUCUUUAACAAUACUCCAUGCCUCCAGGGUGCCAGUCUCAUGCUCAUCAACGGAGAAAGUGGUUGAAGCUCAGGACGACCUAGGAUUCCUGCUGCCAGUGCCAUAUUUACAACACAGCUGUGCACCAGGUCAAAGGCUGGAAGCCAGGAAUUUCCCCCCUCAGCUCCAGUAGGGGAAGACUUCCCUCUGAGUGGCUGAUACAGGCAAGUUUGCACACCUGCUUUUCUGACAGGGACCUGGAGAUCCUGAUGACCAACAUAGUGGACAAAAGAGGCAUCUUUCCUCCGGAGUCCAGAUGUCACCUUAAAGGUCUGUCCAAAGUUGUCACUCAGGUCAAUGCAGAUAAGGUGAAGAACUCGUCACCUGGUUGAUACCUACCUCUGAAGUGAACUUGCUGAAUUCACAAAUUGAUGUCCAUUAUCAGAAACUAUUUCUUCUGGGAGAAUGAUGCUCUAAUCACACUCCACUGUCAUAUAAAGUCUUGAAAUUUCAAUCUAUCUUCAAUUGUAGGCUAUCAGGAUUAAAAAUGCCUUCGCUUUGAAGCCAAAUAAAUGUGAUG